rnacentral:lncRNA from 1 species
GCAGGAAAUAACUUUAAGUCCUUCCUGCAACUUCUACCAACAAAAUGGUUGAUCUGUUUAAGGAUGUAAUGGAAUUUAAACACAGUUUGGAGUUUACUCAGUCAGAGGUAGAGGAGCUAAAGGGCUCGAAUGUCACCACCCAGACUGCAUUCAAAACGAUAUCUAAGGAGUUCACCAUUUUCCAAACACUUAACAAGCACUCUUCCGAAGGAGACUACCUCGAAAACCAACCGAGGCUCAAAAACAUUUGAAUCGAUGGAAUUGAGGACAAUGGAUUUCUUGACAAAUAUAUAUUUAUGGAUUAAGAGAGAACACUUCAAAAGGAGUCGUGGAGCAGAGGUGAAGGUGGUUGAGGUGGAGGUGGAGGAGUUCAUCAAAAGCUCCAUCAGUGACCAUGAUGGGUCAUAUGUCUGCAAAAGUCAGAAUACACAACCCUUUCAUUUUUACUGUGAACAACACAAGGCACGAGGAAAGUCGACAGGGCAGCCACAGGACACCAGGACAAACAGCUGUAAGGACUACAGUGCUUUUGGAAAGUAUUCAGACCCCUUGACUUUUUCCACUUUUUGUUACGUUACAGCCUUAUUCUAAAAUGGAUUAAAUAAAUAAAAAAUCCUCAGCAAUCUACACACA